UUUCCUGUUGCUCAGUCAGUAGAGCAUUGUGGUAGCGGCGCAAAGGUCAUGGGUUCAAAUCUCAGGAAAG